GACGAACGCUGGCGGCGUGCUUAACACAUGCAAGUCGAACGGCAGCGCCCUGCUUUUGUGGUCUGCUCGAGUGGCAAACGGGUACGUAACACGUGAAUAUCCUGCCCUUCUCUUUGGUAUGACUUCAGGUAACUGGAGCUACUCCCGUAUCGCAGCUCCCCCUGCAUUGUAGGGGUUGGAUCGUUUCGGCGGUUGUGGAUGGACUCGCGGCUUAUCAGCUUGCUGGUUGGCUAGUGGCUUACCCAGGGUUUGACGGGUCGCCGGCCUGAGAGGGUGACCGGAGACAUGGGGACUGAGAUACGGCGCAGACUCGUAUGGGAGACAGCAGUGGGGAAUAUUGUACAAUGGGCGGAAGCCGGAUGCAGCAACGCCGCGUGCGUGAUGACGGUCUGUGGGUUGUAAACCGCUUUAGCCUGUGACGAAGCGGGAGUGACGGUAAUGGGUAAAGAAGCACCGGCUAACUACGUG
rnacentral:rRNA from 1 species